rfam:Zostera marina strain Finnish scaffold_31, whole genome shotgun sequence.
GGGUCCAUAGCUCAGCGGUAGAGCAUUUGACUGCAGAUCAAGAGGUCAUCGGUUCGAACCCGAUUGGGCCCU